GCGGUACCCUGACCGUGCAAAGGUAGCAUAAUCAUUUGCCCCUUAAUUAGAGGCUAGUAUGAAUGGGUAAACGAAGGCUUAGCUGUCUCUUUUAUAUAAACAGAAAUUAAUAUAUAUGUGAAGAAGCAUAUAUCUUUAUGAAAGACAAGAAGACCCUAUCGAGCUUGACUUUAUAUUUUAAUUCAAUCAACGGAAAGUCAGACAUAUAAAACAAUAAAGUUUCGUUGGGGCGACGAGAGAAUAUAUAACACUUCUCUUAAUAACAAGAGUUACUACAUAUUUACUGACCCAUAAAAGAUUAAAGGAUAAAGCUACCGUAGGGAUAACAGGCUAAUCCUCUCGGAGAGCCCACAUUGAUGAGAGGGAUUGGCACCUCGAUGUUGGCUUAGAA
rnacentral:rRNA from 1 species